GACAGAGGGGGCAAGCGUUGCUCGGAAUUACUGGGCGUAAAGGGCGCGUAGGCGGGAUGGCAAGUCGGUCGUGAAAUCCCUCGGCUCAACCGAGGAACGUCGAUCGAUACUGCUGUUCUUGAGGAUUGCAGAGGAGACUGGAAUUCCCGGUGUAGCGGUGAAAUGUGUAGAGAUCGGGAGGAACACCUGUGGCGAAAGCGGCGCACUGGACCACAUCUGACGCUGAGGCGCGAAAGCUAGGGGAGCAAACAGG
rnacentral:rRNA from 1 species